UACGAAGGGGGCUAGCGUUGUUCGGAAUCACUGGGCGUAAAGGGCGCGUAGGCGGCUUUGUAAGUCGGAUGUGAAAGCCCCGGGCUUAACCUGGGAAUGGCCAUGGAAACUGGCGAACUGGAGUGUGGCAGAGGGGGGUGGAAUUCCGCGUGUAGCAGUGAAAUGCGUAGAGAUGCGGAGGAAUACCAGUGGCGAAGGCGGCCUUCUGGGGCUCAACUGACGCUGAAGCGCGAAAGCAUGGGGAGCGAACGGG
rnacentral:rRNA from 1 species